GCCAGGCGUGGUGGCUCAUGCCUGUAGUCCCAGCUACUUGGGAGGCUGAGACAUGAGAAUCGCUUGAACCCAGGAGGUAGAGCUGCAGUGAGCUGAGAUUGCGCCACUGCACUCCAACCUGGGUGACAGAGUGAGACUCUGUCUCAA
rnacentral:SRP_RNA from 2 species